CACACAUGGAUAUGAAACAGGAAGUCGGUAUCCAAUUAACUCUUUGAAGUUCACCUGUAGACGUCAUAACCAGCAUAGCUCUAUCCUUGGCGCUUUUCUCUCUGUCUAUGUUUUCAAGAAUUUUUUUGACUCACUUAUUUUUGUGAAAGAAGGCCUCAUGUUUACAUGACAAAAUUAGAAGACCUCCAUUUUUAUUUGUAACCACCUUUUCUAGACUCUCGAACGGAGUUAGCUAGUAAGUCUUGGAAUCAUAAUAGUGUAUUGUUUGUUACAUGGACUGAAACUAUUCUCGUGUCAAUGUAAUGAGAAAUGACUGAGAUAAUAGCCAAAAA